rnacentral:rRNA from 1 species
GAACGCGAAGAACCUUACCUGGGCUUGACAUAUACAGGAUCGCUGCAGAGAUGUAGUUUCCCUUGUGGUCUGUAUACAGGUGGUGCAUGGUUGUCGUCAGCUCGUGUCGUGAGAUGUUGGGUUAAGUCCCGCAACGAGCGCAACCCUUGUCUUAUGCUGCCAGCACACUAUGGUGGGGACUCAUGAGAGACUGCCGGGGUUAACUCGGAGGAAGGUGGGGAUGACGUCAAAUCAUCAUGCCCCUUAUGUCCAGGGCUUCACACAUGCUACAAUGGUCGGUACAACGCGCUGCGAGCCUGUGAGGGUAAGCGAAUCGCUGAAAGCCGGCCUCAGUUCGGAUUGGGGUCUGCAACUCGACCCCAUGAAGUCGGAGUCGCUAGUAAUCGCAGAUCAGCAACGCUGCGGUGAAUACGUUCCCGGGUCUUGUACACACC